AGUAUACAAGGGUUUAACACCGCUGAUAUUUUGAAAGAAAGUUUCCCCAAUUUUUCUUCUGCUAAACAGCCACUGCUCCUCUCGUUAACCUUUGAUUUGGUUCCUGCUCAAGCUCUUUCAUUUAUUCAGUCAUUAUUCUUCCUCUUAAUUACUUUCUUACCCGGAUGGAUGAAACUUGCAUCUAUAUUGCUUACAAUGGCAGAUGGACUACUAAUAACAAGUAUUUGGAUCAUGAGACCAAACUAAUUCUUGUAAAUGAUGAAAUAACCUUUGAAGUUCUUGUUGAAAAGAUUUUUCAGGUUCUAAAACUUAAAAGGGGUGAGAUUGAAGUAAAUAUUUGGUUUGAUACGAAUCUAGAAACAAGCAAAGGGAUGUUAGUAACAAACGACAAUGAAGUUACUACUUGCAUCUUCUUGGUGAGAAAUGAUUCCAAUUUCAAGACUGCCCGUUUCAUUGUUGAUAUCGCAAAAAGGAAUUCUUUGUCAGCAAAUAGUUCAGAAACGGAAUUGUGCAAUAACAUUGUACAUGAAGAAGUAAAUAUUUGUAUUCCACCGGAGGAAGGAGUAUGGGAUAUGCAUAUUGGAGAUAAAGCAUUGAUAGUGGUUGAACCAGCAAUAGCGCCUGAACCUCUGACAAGAAGAAAAUUAACCGAGGAAACUGGACAUACAUCAAAUUGUAGGAAUGUAAGAAAAAGGUCUGCCAGUAAAAGAGGCGAUUUGCAAACUAUGGUUUUGAGCGAAGAUGCUUCAUUGGAUGAAAUAGUUGUUGGAUCUAUGUUUGAGGACAAAGAGAGUUUGAAAAAAUGUUUUUCAAAUAAUGCUAUUAAGUACCAGUUCAAUUUUAAGGUCUAUAGAUCGAGCAAAACAAGGUAUUGUCUGAAGUGUUAUGAUGACGAAUGCAGUUGGUAUUUGCAUUCCACACAGGUCCAUGAUUCUGCAUUAUUCAAGAUUACUAAGUUUGAGAAAAACCAUAGCUGCUCUAUUGAUGCAACUGACCAGCGACACGCAACAUCAAAGGUCAUAUCCGAUUACAUCAAUGAGCUAUUACAUGACAAUAAAGUAGAAAUCAAACCAAGGUUUGUGGUAGUAGAAAUGAGAAAGAGAUAUGGACUGAGCAUUAGUUACCAUAAAGCAUGGCGUGCAAUACAAUUAGCUCUUGGUAUGAUAAGCGGAAGUCCAGAAAAGGAUGAUCAGACCCAAAACUAAUAGGGUCUAACAAAAGUGUAGCACACUAUGUGUUGUUCUCCAAUUUGGACACUACCUACUCGAGAUUUAACCUCUCUACAAAGGGAAGUGUGUUGGAAGAGCAAUGGCAACUUUAAAAUCAUAUUUUCCUUUCGUGGUGCCAUAGUGUAAGCAAGGGCAGCCCGGUGCACAAAGCAUCCCGUGUUUACGCAGGGUCUAGGGAAGGGCCGCAUCCUAAGGGGUGUAAUGUAGGCAGCCUACCCUGAUGCAAGCAUGCUGAUUCCACGGCUCGAGCAACUGACCUAUAGGUCAUAGGGUAAUAACUUGACCGUUUCUCCAAGGCUCCUCUUCCCAUAAUAUAAGCAAGACAAAGCUAAUUUGCAUCAGAUACAAUAUUCAUUAUUGUUCCUUUGUAUUUAAGCAUUUACUAUUGUUACUAUGAGACAUUGUCCACAUUUGUCUUGUGACAUUUAUCGCCAACUAUAUUAACUUAAAGCGA